UUCCCAUUCCGAACAGAGAAGUUAAGCCCGCCUGCGCCGAUGGUACUGCAAUGCAAUGCGGGAGAGUAGGAAGCCGCCAUCU
rnacentral:rRNA from 1 species